rnacentral:rRNA from 1 species
UACAGAGGUGUCAAGCGUUGCUCGGUGUCACUGGGCUUAAAGGGCGCGUAGGCUGUGCAGCACGGCUCGGGUGAAAUCCCUCGGCCCAACCGAGGAACUGCCCGGGCGACGGCUGCGCUGGACUGCAUCAGGGGCGGAUGGAACUCCCGGUGGAGCGGUGAAAUGCGUAGAUAUCGGGAGGAACGCCGGUGGCGAAAGCGAUCCGCUGGGGUGCAAGUGACGCUGAGGCGCGAAAGCCAGGGGAGCAAAGCGGG